GGCUGGGUAGCUGGGUAGUUGGCUGGGUAGCUGGCUGGUUGGCUGUGUAGCUGGCUGGUUGGCUGGGUAGCUGGAUGGUUGGCUGGUUGGCUGGGUAGCUGGUCACACAGACCAGAACAAGGUCCAUGUUCAUUAGGAAUGGUAAAAUGAGUCUUCAAAUGGAAUAUGAAUAUGAGCAUUCUUAUACCCCAUCAUAUGUUCAUGUUGCCUGUGCUGUUCUCACCUCUGGCCUUGUGUUACUGGCCCAGCUCUCCUUCAGGCCUUGUGUUACUGGCCCAGCUCUCCUUCAGGCCUUGUGUUACUGGCCCAGCUCUCCUUCAGGCCUUGUGUUACUGGCCCAGCUCUCCUUCAGGCCUUGUGUUACUGGCCCAGCUCUCCUUCAGGCCUUGUGUUACUGGCCCAGCUCUCCUUCAGGCCUUGUGUUACUGGCCCAGCUCUCCUUCAGGCCUUGUGUUACUGGCCCAGCUCUCCUUCAGGCCUUGUGUUACUGGCCCAGCUCUCCUUCAGGUCUUGUGAGGCAGAAUAGAAAUGGCCUAUCGCCCAUUUGUGUCUCUGUCCCUUUUGGUUCUGUAAACCAUUUGGGUCUGUGCUGUGUGAUUGGUCCAUCAAUCAGGAGCCAUUAACAGCUAUCCAGAGCCAUGUGGUCUUUGUGUGACUGAAUAAAGUAGCUCACCUGCAGGGUUAUUGGGAUUGCUCAGUGGGCUAUUACCCAACCACACCACACUUACACCUGUCAGUCAAAGCUACUGCCCCGCAUCUGUCAUUACUGGCAGGCCCGACGUAUAUGUGCAUGCAUACACACACACACGCGCGCGUGCGCACACGGACGCAGGCGCGCACGCACGCUCACACAUACACAAUGCGGUACCACUCCACACUAAUGAGUCCCACAAUCUGAUGAGAGAGGUGGGGACCAGCCAGAGUCUGGUGUUUAACCUUCCGAGGGGGGGGGGGGGG